UGACCCCAGAGGAUGAGACCAUACAAGGUGUCUAUUAUUAAUACUGUGACCCCAGAGGAUGAGACCAUACAAGGUGUCUAUUAAUAUUAUGACCCCAGAGGAUGAGACCAUACAAGGUGUCUAUUAUUAAUACUAUGACCCCAGAGGACGAGACCAUACAAGGUGUCUAUUAUUAAUACUGUGACCCCAGAGGAUGAGACCAUACAAGGUGUCUAUUAUUGAUACUAUGACCCCAGAGGAUGAGCCCAUACAAGAUGUCUAUUAUUAAUACUAUGACCCCAGAGGAUGAGACCAUACAAGAUGUCUAUUAAUAUUGUGACCCCAGAGGAUGAGACAAUACAAGAUGUCUAUUAAUAUUAUGACCCCAGAGGAUGAGACCAUACAAGGUGUCUAUUAUUAAUACUAUGACCCCAGAGGAUGAGACCAUACAAGGUGUCUAUUAAUAUUAUGACCCCAGAGGAUGAGACCAUACAAGGUGUCUAUUAUUAAUACUAUGACCCCAGAGGAUGAGACCAUACAAGGUGUCUAUUAUUAAUACUAUGACCCCAGAGGAUGAGACCAUACAAGGUGUCUAUUAUUAAUACUAUGACCCCAGAGGAUGAGACCAUACAAGGUGUCUAUUAUUAAUACUAUGACCCCAGAGGAUGAGACCAUACAAGGUGUCUAUUAUUAAUACUAUGACCCCAGAGGAUGAGACCAUACAAGGUGUCUAUUAUUAAUACUAUGACCCCAGAGGAUGAGACCAUACAAGGUGUCUAUUAUUAAUAUUAUGACCCCAGAGGAUGAGACCAUACAAGGUGUCUAUUAUUAAUACUAUGACCCCAGAGGAUGAGACCAUACAAGGUGUCUAUUAUUAAUACUAUGACCCCAGAGGAUGAGACCAUACAAGGUGUCUAUUAUUAAUACUAUGACCCCAGAGGAUGAGACCAUACAAGGUGUCUAUUAUUAAUACUAUGACCCCAGAGGAUGAGA